UGGGGGAAUUUUGGACAAUGGGCGAAAGCCUGAUCCAGCAAUGCCGCGUGUGUGAAGAAGGCCUUCGGGUUGUAAAGCACUUUUGUCCGGAAAGAAAUCCUUGGCUCUAAUACAGUCGGGGGAUGACGGUACCGGAAGAAUAAGCACCGGCUAACUACGUGCCAGCAGCCGCGGUAAUACGUAGGGUGCAAGCGUUAAUCGGAAUUACUGGGCGUAAAGCGUGCGCAGGCGGUUUGCUAAGACCGAUGUGAAAUCCCCGGGCUCAACCUGGGAACUGCAUUGGUGACUGGCAGGCUAGAGUAUGGCAGAGGGGGGUAGAAUUCCACGUGUAGCAGUGAAAUGCGUAGAGAUGUGGAGGAAUACCGAUGGCGAAGGCAGCCCCCUGGGCCAAUACUGACGCUCAUGCACGAAAGCGUGGGGAGCAAACAGGAUUAGAUACCCUGGUAGUCCACGCCCUAAACGAUGUCAACUAGUUGUUGGGGAUUCAUUUCCUUAGUAACGUAGCUAACGCGUGAAGUUGACCGCCUGGGGAGUACGGUCGCAAGAUUAAAACUUAAAGGAAUUGACGGGGUCAUAGCUGUUUCCU
rnacentral:rRNA from 1 species